rnacentral:rRNA from 1 species
CCUACGGGCGGCUGCAGUGGGGAAUUUUGGACAAUGGGGGCAACCCUGAUCCAGCCAUGCCGCGUGCGGGAAGAAGGCCUUCGGGUUGUAAACCGCUUUUGUCAGGGAAGAAAUCUUCCGAGCUAAUACCUUGGGAGGAUGACGGUACCUGAAGAAUAAGCACCGGCUAACUCCGUGCCAGCAGCCGCGGUAAUACGUAGGGUGCAUGCGUUAAGCGGAAUUACUGCGCGUGAUGGUGCAAGACGGGUGUGAAAGCCCCGGGCUUAACCUGGGAACUGCACUUGUGACUGUACGGCUGGAGUACGGCAGAGGGGGAUGGAAUUCCGCGUGUAGCAGUGAAAUGCGUAGAUAUGCGGAGGAACACCGAUGGCGAAGGCAGUCCCCUGGGCCUGUACUGACGCUCAUGCACGAAAGCGUGGGGAGCAAACAGGAUUAGAUACCCCGGUAGUC